CUACCAGUCGCCAAUGGCUGACACGCGUUCAGGACAUUGUCCUGGCCCUGCAAGAGCGGAUUUCGGCUUCCCCACUUUGGAAUCAGGAAAACUAUUCGGUUCAGGUCAAUCUCCCCAUGAAUCAUCAUUGCGUGGCAUGGUGGAUUGAGAUCUUCUACCACCCUUGUGGUGCACCUUCAUAUAUGAAGGCAAGUGUUCGUUCCUGGGCUUGCCCACUGUCAACUAGACGAUGCCGGCCCAGCAGAUUAUUGAAGAUGCCCAACAUAAGCACCGUGGCAGACUAUGUGUUGAAAAAAGUUGGGUCUAAUUUAUCGUUGGGUGAAUUGGUUUGGUGAAUGGAGAAUGGACCAAUGAAUGAAGACCAGCUAUAUUGAGUUUAUUGUUCUUUUAAAUAUUUAACAGUAAAUAUAAAAGAACUUGGAUUGACUGACCGAUGUACGAGUUUAACGCAAACCUGUUUUGGCAACAGUCUUUGACGUUCUUUUGUCCGGAAAUCAGCAGUUCGACAGUUGUUGAAGAUUUCCUGGAUAUACUUGAGGAAAGCUUGCUGAAACCAUUUUCUCGUCCCGCCAUUUUGAGGGCUGGGUAAAGAGAAAGGAAUUGGAGUUGCUCAUUUCAGUGGCCAUUUUGUUUAACAAGGUGUAGUAGCAACUUGCGUGCUUUGUACACAGAACUGACAUGCCUUUUAUCGGAAUCCUGGAAAUUGAUUACGGAUUUACAGCUAACAAGUUAAUCGACUACAUUAUGGAGAAAAUGGAAUCGUUCUGAACUGCAAGUUGUCGAUACCUAUAGGGGAAUUCUUAAAGGUUUCCAGAUGUACUGGCAAGAAUCGGUAUCAAAUUAUGGUAGUUGAAUACUCGCACACAGGUUCAACAUGGAAGAAAUGUGCAAGUGUUGAUGUUGCAGUGGACAAACGGGUGGUGUUAAACAAAUGGAUCUGAAAGUUACACAUAAGCCACGAGGAAAUUCAAACUUAACAGCCAUGAAGAUGAUGGUUCAAGUAAACCUGUUGAACUGAAGGUGGUAGGUGAAAAAAAGGUAAUAUUUAUUGUUCCAUUUCCAUACUGUUGUCUAAAAAAAAAAAAAUUUUACAG